GAUGAACGCUGGCGGCGUGCCUAAUACAUGCAAGUCGAGCGAACGGACGAGAAGCUUUCUUCUCUGAUGUUAGCGGCGGACGGGUGAGUAACACGUGGAUAACCUACCUAUAAGACUGGGAUAACUUCGGGAAACCGUAGCUAAUACCGGAUAAUAUUUUGAACCGCAUGGUUCAAAAGUGAAAGACGGUCUUGCUGUCACUUAUAGAUGGAUCCGCGCUGCAUUAGCUAGUUGGUAAGGUAACGGCUUACCAAGGCAACGAUGCAUAGCCGACCUGAGAGGGGGAUAGGCCAAACUGGAACUGAGACACGGUCAAGACCCCUACGGGAGGCAGAAGUAGGGAAUCUUCCGCAAUGGGCGAAAGCCUGACGAAGCAACGCCGCGUGAGUGAUGAAGGUCUUCGGAUCGUAAAACUCUGUUAUUAGGGAAGAAAAUAUGUGUAAGUAACUGUGCACAUCUUGACGGUACCUAAUAAGAAAGCCACGGCUAACUACGUG
rnacentral:rRNA from 1 species